rnacentral:rRNA from 1 species
UACGUAGGGUGCAAGCGUUAAUCGGAAUUACUGGGCGUAAAGCGUGCGCAGGCGGUGUUGUAAGACAGUUGUGAAAUCCCCGGGCUCAACCUGGGAACUGCAUUUGUGACUGCAUCGCUGGAGUGCGGCAGAGGGGGAUGGAAUUCCGCGUGUAGCAGUGAAAUGCGUAGAUAUGCGGAGGAACACCGAUGGCGAAGGCAAUCCCCUGGGCCUGCACUGACGCUCAUGCACGAAAGCGUGGGGAGCAAACAGG